rnacentral:tmRNA from 1 species
GGGGUCGACUGGUUUUGACAGCGAGAUUAAUUGAACAGUAAGCACGUCGUGUAAUGACUUUGAGACACGAAAAAGGCUAAGUCAACAUUUUAAACGGCGAGAAUAACUACGCUUUAGCUGCAUAAUCUGAAUCACAGUAAGAUUAAGCUAAUUUCCUACUAGGUAGGAAGGCUAAAUGUCCCUUGAAAGCCUUGGUUAGCGGCGGUCAGUUUUGGGGCAUCGUAAAAGUUAACAUAGAUUAGAGAGCGCUUUGAUCUCUAUUUGAAACUAAAGAAGAUAAGUGGUAAGUAGGUUGUCCUUGAUCGGCUUACCAUCGAAAAUUGAACAUGGAAUAAACGUGUAGAAAGCUCUUUAAUGACUUGUUUGGACGAGAGUUCGAUUCUCUCCGACUCCACAA